AUACGGAGGGUGCAAGCGUUACUCGGAAUCACUGGGCGUAAAGCGCGCGCAGGCGGCCAUUUAAGUUGGAUGUGAAAGCCUACGGCUCAACCGUAGAACUGCAUCCAAAACUAUUUGGCUAGAGUGGGGGAGAGGAAGAUGGAAUUAGUUGUGUAGGGGUAAAAUCCGUAGAGAUAACUAGGAAUACCAAAAGCGAAGGCAAUCUUCUGGAACAUUACUGACGCUGAGGCGCGAAAGCGUGGGGAGCAAACAGGAUUAGAAACCCCAGUAGUCC
rnacentral:rRNA from 1 species